ensembl:lncRNA
GCCGAAUUAUUAUGAACUCCUUCUUUCAGGUGAUAAAUCUCCUCCAGUUUUGUGUAUCAGAAAAACUGUUUAUUUCAUCCUUGUGUUGGAGGGAUACUUUUAUUGGUAUGAAACUCUAGGUGACUAUGCAUUAUCUUUGCAGAUCACGGCCAGAAUAAAAUCCAUAUUCCCUCAGGAUAAGCUGAAAAGUGUAACAGGGAAUAUAGAAUCUGUGAAAAAUUCACAAGUCACGUUCUGAGGAAUCAUCGCAUGACAUUUCCUCUCUGGAAAUUCCUCACCUGGCUCAUAAAUUCACUGAUGACUCAGUGAGGUUGAGAACAUGAAAUCCUCUAAGGAAACUCGUGGGAGGCAGUGUGCUGUUGUGGAAGAGAAAAAGGGCACUGGAGUCACCCAGACCUGGGUAUGAAAUUUGACUCGAAAAUUCACCAGCAGUGUAAGAUGGAAACAUUUGGCUGACUCCCUGAGCCUCAGUUCCCUUCUCUGUCAAAUGGGUGCAAGAGCACCCACUCCCAGGUCGUGCUGGGUGCUCACAAGGGUGGCAUGAGAAAGCACUCGAAUACUGUCUUGCACUAAGAGCACACAACGCAUUCAUUCUGGAACACACUUCUCAGGAAUAUGCAGCACGUUUCCUGAAACUUUCACAGAUUCUGAAGCUCAGAUUAUUGAGUGCCUUCUUCGGACUUCGGUUUCAUCACCUGCACAUCGAAAGAGAGUCUUUCUAGUGCCCCUAGAACUAUGCGGACAUGCAGGUCUACAAGUCUAAGAUCCAGCUUAAAACGGAAAAAAAUAAAUAAAUAAAUAAAUAAGCCCCCA